GGGCAUGUAGCUCAGUGGUAGAGUGCAUGCUUAGCAUGCAUGAGGUCCUGGGUUCAAUCCCCACUGCCUCCA
rnacentral:tRNA from 1 species